GGAGUUGUGGCUCAGCGGUAGAGCACUCAUCUAGCACAUGCAAGACCCUGGGUUCAAUUCUCAGCAACACAU
rnacentral:tRNA from 1 species